rnacentral:rRNA from 1 species
CUGAUAAAAAAUACCUAGGAAUCUGCCUGGUAGUGGGGGAUAACGUCCGGAAACGGGCGCUAAUCCCGCAUACGUCCUGAGGGAGAAAGUGGGGGAUCUUCGGACCUCACGCUAUCAGAUGAGCCUAGGUCGUAUUAGCUAGUUGGUGGGGUAAAGGCCUACCAAGGCGACGAUCCGUAACUGGUCUGAGAGGAUGAUCAGUCAAACUGGAACUGAGACACGGUCAAGACUCGUACGGGAGGAAGCAGUGGGGAAUAUUGGACAAUGGGCGAAAGCCUGAUACAGCCAUGCCGCGUGUGUGAAGAAGGUCUUUUUAUUGUUAAACAAUACAGCGACGGCCGAAAUCUAGACUCGUU